rnacentral:misc_RNA from 1 species
GGAGGCUCAAGUCAAUGAAUAACAACUUACAGACUACGUAGUAAGAAAUAAACCUUUGUUUAACGACCAAAACCAUAAAUGUAAUAAACCUCAAAAUGAAUGAAAUAUUUUAGCCCAAUUUGCGUUGCUUCGAGAUUAAUUUCAACAAUCUUCACGAGAAUUCAUGUAAUCUAUACAGAAAAACAAGUGUAGCCUCGAAUUGGUAAAAAUGGAUUACAGCUAACAGAACAUUUGAUUACAAAGCAGAAGACUUCCUGAAUGAAUUCUCUGUUGUUGACUCCAGCUUUCAAAGAGAAAAGUUUCUUCACUUUGACGCUUAAGAUACUCAUCAACAUCAAGCUGUUGCCUUGUUCCAUCUGAUGAAAAUUGGCUAUAGUAACUUCUAUUUUCUCCAAAUCUAUUCCCUGUAACUUCACCAAUAUUUGAGGAAUGGCCAUCUAGAACUCUUGAGCUCCAACUCCCACAGCUACUUAUGGAAUGGUUACUUGAAUCUUGCAUAGGGGUUGCAUCCUGAGCUGCUUCCCAUAAAUUGGUGUUUGGACUUGCCAUUGAUUCCGAUUUCUUGCUUGAUAAAGGAGAAGUAUCAUUAGAAGUUUCCCAUUGCAACCAGGGCAGUACAACCCCAUCCAUUUCAACAGGAAUGGGCUUGGACAACACUGGACUUUGGAAAGUUUGUGUCUUCGUUAUUCCUCCUAAACUUGAACUUGUAUCACUCCUUUCCCCAUCUAAAGAUGAGAUAUCAGUAUCUUCAACAUUUGAAAUGAAAUCUUCAAUAUAUCUCUCUGCCUCCUCGGUCAAUCUCUUAGACAUCCUGCUUCUGUCACUGCUCUUCUUCCUUGCUCGUAAUGGGUUUUCCACAAUUAUGUCCUUUGGAUCAUAAAGCAAUUCCUUCACAUCAUUAGAAAGGUCCCUCCCAUGCUGCUCCUCCAACAAUAUUUCUAACAACAAAUCUUGUUUACGCUUCUCACACUGUUAAUUAAAGAAUAAAGAUCGAUAAGAAGCAUUAAAAAUUAAAUAUAACCAAAUUUAUCAAUGCACCUCCUAUCAUGCAAUAGAAAAAAAUAUGAAUUAUCUAACCCAGUCAAAAUAAACUGAUAUUGCCUUAAUUGAAUACGCAAUGUUCAAUCUAGAAGCCAGUUUAACAACAGAAAAUAGUCUUAAUUUUCACUGUUAGUCUUCAGUACCUACCACAGUAUAACUUAAAGAGUAAAUCUUCCUCAGUAUACCAUCGCAAUUAAAAACUUGCAAGUUACAACAAAUCAUCCAGUGUAAUUGAUCCUACACUUGACAACAUGUUAUAUUUUCACAAAUGCAACAAUAUAUGAUUAUUAAGCAUUAAUGUAGAAUAUAGGCAACAAGCCCACUCCUAAGAGAAGAGCUAUGACUGACUGAUAAAAUGCCCAUAAGUACCAGUUGCUAGUAUCACAUAACUCAAAGCACUCCUUGGUAAGCAUUCAGCACCCAGAAAAGAAGGGGGAUUUCUAGUUUCUAUUUGACAUGCUCUCAUGCAUGUCUACCAUACUAAUAAUUAUUAAAUGAAUACUGCCCCAUGGGAUGAAUUGAUACAAGAUAUAUAUUUUAUUUGACUUUUCAUACCAAUUCCAUUUUUGUUGCAUAAUUCCUUUUAAUAGUAGGAGCCAGAAGAUCGACAGAAUUUUGGGAUCGCCUGCAGUCAUCACUUGCUAAGGAGGUACUUGGUUUUCUCACAACCUACAUAAAUUGCAAGGAACUUGGUAAGUUUCAGCAAACUAAAGUGGAAGCUCCAAGCAUUGCAUAUGUAAGAUACGACGCAGAGACUGUAAAAUUAGGUUAGCAAGAUGUUCAAUUACAGACUUGUUCGAGUUCCAUUCUGAUCUCUUCUACCGCAUUCCUUAGUUCUUUUCGCAUUACUUCAUACAACCCACUGUUCAUACCAUCACUGGUGGGGUGCUCAGCCUUAUGAUUCAAAAGCAUGGACAAUAAGUGACAAAUUUCCAGAGGCAAACUGUGUAAGCAAAAGUAAACAGACAGAAAAUACUGCAGUAAUGCUCAUCAUGCAACUGCCAUCGCUGUAAAUUAAAUCCAACCUUUUUCUGUGCAUAAACUGCUCGUAUUGUUCUCUCAAUCCCAUUUAAGUUGGGAUGAGAAUCCCUUCCUUCAUCAUCUGUUAGCACUGAUGAGUGGCUAGAAUAGCCAUCCUGGUACUUUAAAUCUUUUUGGCUAAGAGAGCUUCCAAGUCCCUGUCUAUGAUUUGAAGUAGCUGUCUUAUUUGACAAUGGCACCUGCCUGCUUCCACCACUGAGACUCUUCAAAGUAGCAUGACUUUUUGAAUUCUGAGAAUGAUCUAAAUCACUCUCAGAAUCACUAAUUUGACAUCGAACCACUGAUACGGAGCGCCGCCUCCUCGAAUUGUUGUUAUCCGAACUAACCCGUCCCCCAACAUGGCUAUUUCCAGCACUAGCCUUCCCUUCACCAACUCUGGAACCAUGCCUGGAAACAGACCUCCCUCUUCUUUGCGACACACUGACUUUAUCCCCAGAGCUGACAUCAUCAAUUCUCGAAGAAGAACGACCUCGAUCAGAAGAACCAAAGAACUGAACAGCAAGAUCAUCAAGAGUGAUAUCUGGAAACCCCGAUCCCCUGACAGUGUUGACGAACCUCCCUCUAGGAGCUGGCGCGUCAUCAGAGAAGUCAUCACCGGGAGGAGGCAAAGGGCGGGAGAAACGGCUGAGGCUACGAGAGCGGCGGUGAGCAGAGGCGUUGGAAGUGGAAGAAGAGGAGUCAUCAGUGGAGGCAACAGAGGAUUUAGCAAUGGGAGUUCUCUUGGUGGUGGACCUGAAGGCCGAAGUGGCCAUUUGGAAAAUGGAAGGAGUAGGUGGAGAAAAGAAACAGCUAAAACAUGCAAGGAAGGAAGGCUAAAUUAGGGAUUACAGAAUCAGCAUUUUGUGGAGCAUUAAAUGCAAAUUGAUGGAAAUAGAUACGGCGGUUUUCUAAUUUGGAAAGAGAAGAGAGAGAAAGAGCUGACGAGGAAUGUAGUUGACUAGAUGAAGAAGAAGCCAUAGACGAGAGUGUUCUGUUCAGUGUUUGAAGAGGAAGAUUGGCGGAGAGAUCGAAAAGAAAUUUUUGAAAAUAGGAGCUGUUCCGAUACUUAUGUAUUGUUGGCCAGUAAAAGGAAUGAAUAGACCUGAGUUACCACUGACCGGAAAAAAAAUCUGCGGCUUCUUAUAAUUUCUCCUGGCCGAGGACUAUCACCAUGGUCAAACCAUAAUUGGAGCUCCAGCAGCCGGCAGCAGUCCUCUCUUCCUUGUU